GGCUGAUAAUAGUGGGUGCAGGUGAAUUAUGGGAGUUGUAGUGAGGGCUGAUAAUAGUGGGUGCAGGUGAAUUAUGGGAGUUGUAGUUGGGGCUGAUAAUAGUGGGUGCAGGUGAAUUAUGGGAGUUGUAGUGAGGGUCUGAUAAUAGUGGGUGCAGGUGAAUUAUGGGAGUUGUAGUGAGGGCUUAUAAUAGUGGGUGCAGGUGAAUUAUGGGAGUUGUAGUGAGGGCUGAUAAUAGUGGGUGCAGGUGAAUUAUGGGAGUUGUAGUGGGGGGCUGAUAAUAGUGGGUGCAGGUGAAUUAUGGGAGUUGUAGUGGGGGGCUGAUAAUAGUGGGUGCAGGUGAAUUAUGGGAGUUGUAGUGAGGGCUUAUAAUAGUGGGUGCAGGUGAAUUAUGGGAGUUGUAGUGAGGGCUGAUAAUAGUGGGUGCAGGUGAAUUAUGGGAGUUGUAGUG